GCUCAAAUUUGAAAUCUCCUUCGGGCGAAUUGUAGUUUAGAGAAGCGUUUUCGGCUCGACGGUUGGUACAAGUUCUUUGGAACAAGACAUCAUAGAGGGUGAAAAUCCCGUCUUUGACCAAUCUUACGGCUUUGUGAUACGUUUUCCAAGAGUCGGUUUGUUUGGGAAUGCAGACCAAAAAGGGAGGUAAAUACCUUCUAAAGCUAAAUAUUGGCGAGAGACCGAUAGCGAACAAGUACCGUGAGGGAAAGAUGAAAAGAACUUUGAAAAGAGAGUGAAACAGUACGUGAAAUUGUCAAAAGGGAAACGUUUGAAAGCAGUAUUGCGGCCAGGAUUUCAGCCUCGGUGUAUUGUCCUGGUGGCGAGUCAACAUCAGUUCGGUUUGGAGCAAAAAGCCGUGUGAAGGUAGCCCUUUGGGUAUUAUAGCGCAUGGUCGUACUCUAGACGGGACUGAGGACAGCAGCGUUUUUGGCUUUGCACACUCGCGCUUGGGAUGUUGACGAAAUGGUUUUAAGCGACCCGUCUUGAAACACGGACCAAGGAGUCUAACAUAUAUGCAAGUAUUUGGGUGGCAAACCCUUGUGCGCAAUGAAAGUGAAAAGAUGGGAUCAUGGAGCACCAUCGACCGCGCCAGAUUCCGAUCUCGGCGUGAGUAUGAGCAUAGAUGCUGGGACCCGAAAGAUGGUGAACUAUGCCUGAAUAGGGUGAAGCCAGAGG
rnacentral:rRNA from 4 species